GACCCUUGGGCCAAGGUCCUUAAUCCCCAAGCUGCACCCGGUGUGUAGUGAGCACCUUGCAUGGUGGCAGCCUGGCAUCGGUGUGUCUGUGUGUGUGUGUGGAUGGGUGAGAU